AUUGAACGCUGGCGGCAUGCCUUACACAUGCAAGUCGAACGGCAGCACGGGGGCAACCCUGGUGGCGAGUGGCGAACGGGUGAGUAAUACAUCGGAACAUACCCUAGGGUGGGGGAUAACGUAGCGAAAGUUACGCUAAUACCGCAUAUGCACUAAGGUGGAAAGCAGGGGAUCGCAAGACCUUGCGCUCAUGGAGUGGCCGAUGGCAGAUUAGCUAGNGGUUGGGGUAAGGCCUACCAAGGCGACGAUCUGUAGCUGGCCUGAGAGGACGACCAGCCACACUGGAACUGAGACACGGUCCAGACUCC
rnacentral:rRNA from 1 species